rnacentral:rRNA from 1 species
UACGUAGGGUGCAAGCGUUGUCCGGAAUUAUUGGGCGUAAAGAGCUCGUAGGCGGUUUGUCGCGUCUGCUGUGAAAACGCGAGGCUCAACCUCGCGCCUGCAGUGGGUACGGGCAGACUAGAGUGGCGGUAGGGGAGAUUGGAAUUCCUGGUGUAGCGGUGGAAUGCGCAGAUAUCGAGGAGGAACACCGAUGGCGAAGGCAGAUCUCUGGGCCGUUACUGACGGCUGAGG